UACAGAGGUCCCAAGCGUUGUUCGGAUUCAUUGGGCGUAAAGGGCGCGUAGGCGGCCUGUUAAGUCGGCUGUGAAAGCCCGGGGCUCAACCCCGGAAAGUCGGCCGAUACUGGCAAGCUAGAGUACGGAAGAGGUAGCUGGAAUUCCCGGUGUAGCGGUGAAAUGCGUAGAUAUCGAGAGGAACACCAGAGGUGAAGACGGGUUGCUGGGCUGACACUGACGCUGAGGCGCGAAAGCCAGGGGAGCAAACGGG
rnacentral:rRNA from 1 species